AGAGUUUGAUCCUGGCUCAGGACGAACGCUGGCGGCGUGCCUAAUACAUGCAAGUCGAACGAAGCUUUCUUUCACCGAAUGCUUGCAUUCACCGAAAGAAGCUUAGUGGCGAACGGGUGAGUAACACGUAGGCAACCUGCCCAAAAGAGGGGGAUAACACUUGGAAACAGGUGCUAAUACCGCAUAACCAUGAACACCGCAUGAUGUUCAUGUAAAAGACGGCUUUUACUGUCACUUUUGGAUGGGCCUGCGGCGUAUUAACUUGUUGGUGGGGUAACGGCCUACCAAGGUGAUGAUACGUAGCCGAACUGAGAGGUUGAUCGGCCACAUUGGGACUGAGACACGGCCCAAACUCCUACGGGAGGCAGCAGUAGGGAAUCUUCCACAAUGGACGAAAGUCUGAUGGAGCAACGCCGCGUGAAUGAAGGAGGCCUUCGGGUCGUAAAAUUCUGUUGUCAGAGAAGAACGUGCGUGAGAGUAACUGUUCACGUAUUGACGGUAUCUGACCAGAAAGCCACGGCUAACUACGUGCCAGCAGCCGCGGUAAUACGCAGGUGGCGAGCGUUGUCCGGAUUUAUUGGGCGUAAAGGGAACGCAGGCGGUCUUUUAAGUCUGAUGUGAAAGCCUUCGGCUUAACCGAAGUAGUGCAUUGGAAACUGGAAGACUUGAGUGCAGAAGAGGAGAGUGGAACUCCAUGUGUAGCGGUGAAAUGCGUAGAUAUAUGGAAGAACACCAGUGGCGAAAGCGGCUCUCUGGUCUGUAACUGACGCUGAGGUUCGAAAGCGUGGGUAGCAAACAGGAUUAGAUACCCUGGUAGUCCACGCCGUAAACGAUGAGUGCUAAGUGUUGGAGGGUUUCCGCCCUUCAGUGCUGCAGCUAACGCAUUAAGCACUCCGCCUGGGGAGUACGGUCGCAAGACUGAAACUCAAAGGAAUUGACGGGGGCCCGCACAAGCGGUGGAGCAUGUGGUUUAAUUCGAAGCAACGCGAGGAACCUUACCAGGUCUUGACAUCUUCUGACAAUUCCAGAGAUGGAACGUUCCCUUCGGGGACAGAAUGACAGGUGGUGCAUGGUUGUCGUCAGCUCGCGUCGUGAGAUGUUGGGUUAAGUCCCGCAACGAGCGCAACCCUUAUUGUCAGUUGCCAUCAUUAAGUUGGGCACUCUGGCGAGACUGCCGGUGGCAAACCGGAGGAAGGUGGGGAUGACGUCAAAUCAUCAUGCCCCUUAUGACCUGGGCUACACACGUGCUACAAUGGACGGUACAACGAGUCGCUAACUCGCGAGGGCAAGCUAAUCUCUUAAAGCCGUUCUCAGUUCGGAUUGCAGGCUGCAACUCGCCUGCAUGAAGUCGGAAUCGCUAGUAAUCGCGAAUCAGCAUGUCGCGGUGAAUACGUUCCCGGGCCUUGUACACACCGCCCGUCACACCAUGAGAGUUUGUAACACCCAAAGUCGGUGGGGUAACCUUUUGGAGCCAGCCGCCUAAGGUGGGACAGAUGAUUGGGGUGAAGUCGUAACAAGGUA
rnacentral:rRNA from 1 species